rnacentral:rRNA from 1 species
AAUGGACGAAAGUCUGACGCAGCGACGCCGCGUGGGGGAUGAAGGUCUUCGGAUUGUAAACCCCUUUCGGGAGGGAGGAUGGAGUGGGUAACCACUUGGACGGUACCUCCAGAAGCAGCCACGGCCAACUUCGUGCCAGCAGCCGCGGUAAUACGAAGGUGGCAAGCGUUGUUCGGAUUCACUGGGCGUANAGGGUGUGUAGGCGGUUUGGUAAGCCUUCUGUUAAAGCUUCGGGCCCAACCCGGAAAGCGCAGAGGGUACUGCCAGGUUAGAGGGUGGGAGAGGAGCGCGGAAUUCCCGGUGUAGCGGUGAAAUGCGUAGAGAUCGGGAGGAAGGCCGGUGGCGAAGGCGGCGCUCUGGAACAUACCUGACGCUGAGACACGAAAGCGUGGGGAGCAAA